rnacentral:rRNA from 1 species
GAUGAACGCUGGCGGCGUGCCUAAUACAUGCAAGUCGAGCGAACAGACGCGGAGCUUGCCCCUCUGACAUUAGCGGCGGAAGGGUGAGUAACACGUGGAUAACCUCCCUAUAAGACUGGGGUAACUUCGGGAAACCGGAGCUAAUACCGGAUAAUAUAUUGAACCGCAUGGUUCAAUAGUGAAAGACGGUUUUGCUGUCACUUAUAGAUGGAUCCGCGCCGCAUUUGCUAGUUGGUAAGGUAACGGCUUACAAAGGCAACGAUGCGUAGCCGACCUGAGAGGGUGAUCGCCCACACUGGAACUGAGACACGGUCCAGACUCCUACGGGAGGCAGCAGUAGGGAAUCUUCCGCAAGGGGCGAAAGCUGGACGGAGAAACGCCGCGUGAGUGAUGAAGGUCUUCGGAUCGUAAGACUCUGUUAUUAGGGAAGAACAAAUGUGUAAGUAACUAUGCACGUCUUGACGGUACCUAAUCAGAAAGCCACGGCUAACUACGUG